rnacentral:rRNA from 1 species
CGAGUGCGGAGGCAUAGUGCCUUCGCUUUUGUGCACCCUAAGGCGGUGCACGAAUAAGAGCUGGGCAAGACCGGUGCCAGCCGCCGCGGUAAUACCGGCAGCUCGAGUGAUGGCCGAUCUUAUUGGGCCUAAAGCGUUCGUAGCCGGCCGGGCAAGUUCGUCGGGAAAUCUACCAGCUCAACUGGUAGGCGUCCGGCGAAUACUGUCCGGCUUGGGACAGGGAGACUCGAAGAGUACGUCCGGGGUAGGAGUGAAAUCCCGUAAUCCUGGACGGACUACCGAUGGCGAAAGCACUUCGAGAGAACUGAUCCGACGGUCAGGAACGAAAGCUGGGGUCUCGAACCGGAUUAGAUACCCGGGUAGUCCCAGCUGUAAACGAUGUUCGCUAGGUGCGACGCAGACUACGAGUCUGUGUUGUGCCGUAGGGAAGCCGAGAAGCGAACCGCCUGGGAAGUACGUCCGCAAGGAUGAAACUUAAAGGAAUUGGCGGGGGAGCACUACAACCGGAGGAGCCUGCGGUUUAAUUGGACUCAACGCCGGACAUCUCACCAGCCCCGACUGUUCGAAUGAAGCUCAGUGUGAUGAGCUUAGCAGACGAACAGAGAGGAGGUGCAUGGCCGCCGUCAGCUCGUACCGUGAGGCGUCCUGUUAAGUCAGGCAACGAGCGAGACCCGCGUCCUUAAUUGCCAGCAAGACCCUUGAGGUCGUUGGGUACAUUAGGGAGACUGCCGCCGCCAAGGCGGAGGAAGGAACGGGCAACGGUAGGUCAGUAUGCCCCGAAUGGGCUGGGCUACACGCGGGCUACAAUGGUCAGGACAAUGGGUUCCUACUCCGAGAGGAGACGGUAAUCUCACAAACCUGGUCGUAGUUCGGAUUGUGGGCUGAAACUCGCCCACAUGAAGCUGGAUUC